rnacentral:rRNA from 1 species
UACGUAGGGUGCGAGCGUUAAUCGGAAUUACUGGGCGUAAAAGCGUGCGCAGGCGGUUCGCCAAGUCAGGUGUGAAAAUCCCCCGGGCUUAACCUGGGAAUUGCGCUUGAAACUAGCGGGCUUGAGUGCGGGCAGAGGGGGGGGUGGGAAUUCCAACGUGUAGCAGUGAAAUGCGUAGAGAUGUGGAGGAACACCGAUGGCGAAGGCAGCCCCCCUGGGUCGACACUGACGCUCAUGCACGAAAGCGUGGGGAGCAAACAGG